CAGUCGAGCGGACAGAUGGGAGCUUGCUCCCUGAUGUUAGCGGCGGACGGGUGAGUAACACGUGGGUAACCUGCCUGUAAGACUGGGAUAACUCCGGGAAACCGGGGCUAAUACCGGAUGGUUGUUUGAACCGCAUGGUUCAAACAUAAAAGGUGGCUUCGGCUACCACUUACAGAUGGACCCGCGGCGCAUUAGCUAGUUGGUGAGGUAACGGCUCACCAAGGCAACGAUGCGUAGCCGACCUGAGAGGGUGAUCGGCCACACUGGGACUGAGACACGGCCCAGACUCCUACGGGAGGCAGCAGUAGGGAAUCUUCCGCAAUGGACGAAAGUCUGACGGAGCAACGCCGCGUGAGUGAUGAAGGUUUUCGGAUCGUAAAGCUCUGUUGUUAGGGAAGAACAAGUACCGUUCGAAUAGGGCGGUACCUUGACGGUACCUAACCAGAAAGCCACGGCUAACUACGUGCCAGCAGCCGCGGUAAUACGUAGGUGGCAAGCGUUGUCCGGAAUUAUUGGGCGUAAAGGGCUCGCAGGCGGUUUCUUAAGUCUGAUGUGAAAGCCCCCGGCUCAACCGGGGAGGGUCAUUGGAAACUGGGGAACUUGAGUGCAGAAGAGGAGAGUGGAAUUCCACGUGUAGCGGUGAAAUGCGUAGAGAUGUGGAGGAACACCAGUGGCGAAGGCGACUCUCUGGUCUGUAACUGACGCUGAGGAGCGAAAGCGUGGGGAGCGAACAGGAUUAGAUACCCUGGUAGUCCACGCCGUAAACGAUGAGUGCU
rnacentral:rRNA from 1 species